ACACCAGUGGCAACCUGACGAGGUCACGCUCCUUACCAUCAUAAUUCCCGUGCAAGAACGUUGCUCUCACGAGGUACUUGAAGCCUGUCGUGGCAGGAGACAAGGUGUAGCAGUUCCGGCCUCCAUUGGGAAAGCUUCUGAGGUAGCUGGAUCCACCUGGAAGCCCGCAGUCUAUGCUGAUGAAUCCUUCGUCUGCACGGAUGGGGAAACAUGUUAGGUAAAAAUCAAUGGAACGCGGGUGGAGCAAGAAAUGGAUCAAAUCUCGGGCUGUAGUGAGCUGAGCCCUGUUUCCUUGUGAUUAUUUUUGUACUUUCUCAGGAGGCUUUGGUGAACUUUUCAUUUUUCUAACUUCUGUAAAAAAUCUUUCGAGUACAUACAUUGUGAAUUGCUAGAAGUCGAUAAAUGAAUUAGAUGUUAGAAUACAUAUUGGGUUUAAAGAUAGAGAUAAGGAGAUAGAGAUCGAAUAGAUUUAAACAAUGUAUAUUUUGUCUUGUACUCCAAGCCUCUACCCCUUGUGUAUUAUAUAUAUACCCCAUAUAAGGGUCGGAUCACAACAACAUAGAACACCAUAAUAUUCAGUCAUCUCAUAUUUUAUAAUUA